rnacentral:rRNA from 1 species
UGUGGUGAUGAUGGCAAGAAGGACCCACCUGUUCCCAUACCGAACACAGAAGUUAAGCUUCUUAGCGUCGAGGAUAGUGACGGGUUUCCCGUUGUGAAAGCCGGACGUUGCCACGC